AUACGGAGGGUGCAAACGUUGUUCGGAAUUACUGGGCGUAAAGCGCGCGUAGGCGGUUUGUUAAGUCAGAUGUGAAAGCCCAAGGCUCAACCUUGGACGUGCAUUUGAAACUGGCAGACUUGUGUACUGGAGGGGAUGGUGGAAUUCCCGGUGUAGAGGUGAAAUUCGUAGAUAUCGGGAGGAAUACCGGUGGCGAAGGCGACCAUCUGGCCAGAUACUGACGCUGAGGUGCGAAAGCAUGGGGAGCAAACAGGAUUAGAAACCCCGGUAGUCC
rnacentral:rRNA from 1 species